rnacentral:rRNA from 1 species
GUGGUAAUGCCGGAUGCUCCGGUUGGAUGCAUGUCCUUCCGGGAAAGAUUCCAUCGGUAUGGGAUGGGGUCGCGUCCUAUCAGCUUGAUGGCGGGGUAACGGCCCACCAUGGCUUCGACGGGUAGCCGGCCUGAGAGGGCGACCGGCCACAUUGGGACUGAGAUACGGCCCAGACUCCUACGGGAGGCAGCAGUGGGGAAUAUUGCACAAUGGGCGCAAGCCUGAUGCAGCGACGCCGCGUGCGGGAUGGAGGCCUUCGGGUUGUAAACCGCUUUUGAUCGGGAGCAAGCCCUUCGGGGUGAGUGUACCCUUCGAAUAAGCACCGGCUAACUACGUGCCAGCAGCCGCGGUAAUACGUAGGGUGCAAGCGUUAUCCGGAAUUAUUGGGCGUAAAGGGCUCGUAGGCGGUUCGUCGCGUCCGGUGUGAAAGCCCAUCGCUUAACGGUGGGUCUGCGCCGGGUACGGGCGGGCUGGAGUGCGGUAGGGGAGACUGGAAUUCCCGGUGUAACGGUGGAAUGUGUAGAUAUCGGAAAAGAACACCA